rnacentral:misc_RNA from 1 species
ACGUGAGUGGUGAGAUAACCCAGUGCGCUGGCGGGCCCCCUGCUUAAGUGCGGCCGACCGCGAGUGCGAUGGGAUGUGCUUCGUUCGUGAAAUCCCAAAAUCAUCGGGGCUCCGCACGAUGCGGAGGGCAUUUUCGGUGGGUUGUAUCGCAUAGUCGGCACGCGGCAACUUGGUGACCGUACGUUAGUAACGUCAUGUCCUCCUCCUCUCUCUCGCCCGCUCCCCUCGGACGGGCGGGGAGCGAGAAGCGGCCUCUUACGACGUCCCGUGCGUCCUCGGCGGCGCUUGCAGUGCGCACGUGUGUGCUUACGGAUGCUUGCCUGCUUCGUCUGGACCUCGGGACGGUCGAGUGCUUACGGAUGCGGUGAAUUGGAUGGGAGUCGGGUGGGCGCACGCUGUUGCCGACCCGACGAACGGAAGGUGUUUGCGCACGCCGCGAGCGGGCAAACGGAACGGAAUGAACGACCGCCGGCGGGCGGGCUGGAUACGCCGUCCUGUCCGCGGGCGUCGUCUCUAA